rnacentral:rRNA from 1 species
AUUGAACGCUGGCGGCAUGCUUUACACAUGCAAGUCGAACGGUAACAGGCCUUCGGGUGCUGACGAGUGGCGAACGGGUGAGUAAUGCAUCGGAACGUACCCAGAGGUGGGGGAUAACGCAGCGAAAGCUGUGCUAAUACCGCAUGUGAUCUGAGGAUGAAAGCGGGGGACCGAGCAGCAAUGUUUGGCCUCGCGCCUUUGGAGCGGCCGAUGUCGGAUUAGCUAGUUGGUGGGGUAAAGGCCUACCAAGGCGACGAUCCGUAGCUGGUCUGAGAGGACGACCAGCCACACUGGGACUGAGACACGCCCCAGACUCCUACGGGAGGCAGCAGUGGGGAAUUUUAGACAAUGGGCGCAAGCCUGAUCCAGCAAUGCCGCGUGAGGGAAGAAGGCCUUCGGGUUGUAAACCGCUUUUGGCAGGAACGAAACGGUGUCCGCUAAUACCGGGCGCUAAUGACGGUACCUGCAGAAUAAGCACCGGCUAACUACGUG